GCAGAACCCAGAUGAAGGGUGGCUGUCAGAGAGCCUCUUCCUGUGUCAAUGAAACAGAAAGUAGGAGUUUGGGAAGGCUGAUUUUGACUUAAGGACACUGAAUACAAUCUUUUCUGGGUGUUUACAAAGUGUGUUUACCAAGCAGCCACUCUCCAAACCCUAGCAACUGCUUAAAACAAGAGAGCUGCUGAUUUGUGGAGUGUUUUCUUUUCAAAAAAUAUCGCCGUAAAUGUUGGAUUUAGAGACAUUCUUUCCUUUUAAAAAUAACUUGUCAAGGGGACAAAAGUAUUUAAGAGGCUUUCUUCUCAGCUCAGAAAGCCAUAGGGAGGAGGAAUGGUUUGUUUUGGAGUUUUUUGGGUUUUUUUGGGGGGGGGGAUUUUUUAUUUUGCAUGAGGUUAGAGCUAGGAGUAGGAGAAGUAGGAGGGGCAGUUGGAAAGCAGGUGGGAUGUUGGUUAGCUCUUUGCCUUCGGAAUCCCAAACCCCUUCUCUGAUUGCUCCUUCCCUCACCUUUUUCUCUCAAAAACCCACCAGGAUCUAGGAGAAAACAAGAUUGAGCUCUACUUUGCCCCCUCCCUUUCCCUUUCCCCCUCCCCUGCAGUCCCACCCCAGCGCUCCCCACCUACCUCUCAUAUCAGGUGUCAACUUCUUCUUUCUCUCCACAGACGCCACAGUGUGUCCCCAAGUGCACCACUGAUGGUAUACAAGAUUUUGGAGGUUGACAUACAAAUAAGCUUUAAAAAAAUUUUUAGCAGUACGUAUUUUUUAGAGUACCAAAAAACACAGAGAUAGAUAGACAGACUAUAACAGAUAGAUAGAUAGAUAGAUAUGAUUGACAGAUAGAUAAUAGAUAUGAAUGACAGAUAUAGGUAGAUAAUGAUCGACAGAUGAUUGAUAGAUAUGAUUGACAGAGAGAUGAUUAAUAGAUGAUAGAUAUGAAUGACAGAUAGAUAAUAGGUAGAUAAUGAUUGACAGAUAGAUGAUUGAUAGAUAUGAUUGACAGAUAGAUUAAUGAUUGACUGAUAGGGCGAGCCAGGACCUCAAACCCAUGCUUUCACAGAUAUUACCCCUUUCCUUUUUAAGCACAUUUUACACAACACAUGAUCAUUCAACCAAUUAUUGGGUUGUUAUGGUCCUACUAAGUGCCAGGCACCAUUUAUCGUUCUUAGGAACAUCAGUAAACAAAACAGUCACCAGACACUGAUCUCACAGAGCUUAUAUGCUGGCAGGCAAAAGCAGGAAAUAAGCAAGAAGUGAAUAAUAAUCUGAUAAAUUCUAAAGUGAUUAGUGCUAUAAGAAAAGAAAUAAAGAAAAAAACAAGAAAAGAAAUAUUAAAGAAAAAUAAGGCAUGUCAGCAGUGCCCAGGGAGGGGGAAGGGGGUAGGUUCCCAAAUUUAAUGGGGUAGUCAAAAUAAGCCUCAUGAAGGAGGUGAGAUUUCAGCAAGAACUUGAAGGAGGUGAGUAAGUUCACUACAGGUUUAUCUGGGGGAAGAGUGGUUCAGGCAGAGGGAAGAGCUUCAGCAAAUUCCCUAAGCAAGGGCCAUAACCAGCCUCUUCCAGAAACAGUAAGGUGGCCAGUGUGGCUGGAACAGAGUGAGCAAGGCAAGAAAGUAGAGGGAGAGAAAAUCAGAGGAGACAGAUUCUGAUUCUGAUCACUUAUUUUAAAUGUAAUUAAAACUAAAUGAAAUUUAAAAUUCAGAUUCUCAGCUGCAUGAGCCAUGUUUCAAGGGUUUAAUAGCCACUUGUGGCUAGUGGCUACCUUAUUGGGUAGCACAGAUAAGAAAAUUUCUCUCAUCACAGAAAGUUCUAUCAGAUGACACUGACCUUGAGUGUUUUGGCUCCUUUUUUGGCUUGGUUAACUUUUAUUCAGACUUUAACAGCUCAAACAUCACUUCCUCCAGGAAGGCUUUUCUGACCACUCUUCCUGUACAUCAGCUCCACUGUCCUAUGCAUGCUCUCAGAGAGCCAGGUGGCUUUCCUUCGUAUCAGUUAUCUCUUUGUGAAAUCGUACACUAAUUGGCAGUGCUUGAUGGCUUGUACCUGAAGUCCCAGCUACUCAGGAGACUGAAGUGGGAGGAUCACUUGAGUUCAGGAGCUUGAGGCUACAGUGAACUAUGGUCACUGCACUCCAGCCUGGAUGACAGAGUGAGACUCCAUUGAAGGAGGAGGAGGAGGAGAAGAAGAAGGAAGAAAUUGUAUGCUCAUUAGUACAAUAUCUUACUGAUGUCUCUCUCUCCUAAUACAUUUUAAACUCCGUUGUUUCUGUUUUGGUUCAUUGUUAUAUUGCCAGCACCUAGCACAGGGCCUGACGUAUGAAGGACAAAUAAUUUGUUCAACGAUCCAAUGAAUGGUUUUAGGUGGUAGGACUAGAAGCAGGGUAUUCACUAAAAAAAAGGUUAUAGCACUGUGGAGAACUGUGAUUCAGUAGGCUCCUGGGACCCAAAAUUUUGCUGGGUGAGAGCAGCUCCAGAGGCUGGAGUCCCUACUGCACCAAACUUGGAUUCAGCUCAGGACCCUUAAUCAUUUUUGCACCCCCUUCUCACCAAGGCCCCCACAUGCUGUCCCUCCAGGAUAACAACAGCAUAGCAUCUGUCUUUACCAGAGAAGCCAAGUCUCAGAUAUUCACAUAAUGUCUCUUCAUUCCUUCAGUCCUGUGCUUGCAGCAGCAGCAGCGGCAGCAUUGAAAUGCUUCCUUCUGCUGCUCGCGAAUCCGAGGAGUGGGGACCGACCUUGGCACAUUUGCUGGGAUGCCUGGCUAGGCAAGGAGAGUGCCG
rnacentral:lncRNA from 10 species